AUACAUAUAAAGCAGGGAAUUCCAAUAUUUGGCACCAAAAUCAACUUGGGGGCAUGUAACGCACCCAUUCCCAAUCGUCUCGAACACCUCUUCUUCUUCCUCCUCCUCCUCAACCCAAAAAACCCUGAUUCCCAUUUCGAGAACCCCAUUACUUACGAGGCGGUUGGUCCUCCUGUCUCUCCCUCUAGCUACUUUUUCUGCUUCCAAGUAACAGCAGCGCUGUUGAUGCAAUCGAGUCCACUUCUGCUGUCGUCACAACCUUCAACCCAAUCGGUGGUGCGGAGAGAGACGCAAGUGCUGCUAUUUCCCGGAGAAUAUCUGAAGCUUUGGACUUGUUGGAGAGAGGGAGGGACUUUCAGGCCCGCGGUGACUUUGACCAAGCUCUUCUCAGCUUUACUCAGAAUCUUACAUUUAUGUACUUAUAGACACUAUGUAAACUGAUCCUAAACCAAGUAGAAUACUAGACUACCCUUUAUGAAGUUAUUUGGUGGCAGCUUAAAACUACACCUUGAAAAUGACAAGGCCAGUGGGGGAUGGGGUUUAUGUUACGUCCUGCAAUCAUUGCUUAUGUUUGUGCGAUAGGAAGUUAGUCGAGGGGUUGAACGUGGGGAGAGAGUGGGUGAAGUUUCUCACCUUCAAUUUCCAGAUGAUACGUUUUCUUCGUUUCUGGAGAUGAAACAAAAUGGCAGAAUUUGCUAGAAAUUUUGGAUUGCUUCAGUGCGGUAUCUCGGCUAAAAAAUUAAAAAUCAAAAUGAAUGAAUACAAAGGUUAAGAAAACCGGAAAGUUUCGCCAACUCCCUAGGUUGUGAGGUUGGCCUUUGAAGUGCUUAGGUCGAAGAGGUAAUUGUAGAGCUGCAGACCUUUGGAAUCCAGUGGUGGAAAAGGGUGAAAAGCAAUAGGAUAGUUGGAAGAAAGCUUCUCUUUCAAGAGGGGAUCUCGUUUGACAUUAAUUCAAGGCAGUUUUGGAGAGUUUACCAGUGCAUUACAUGUCCUUAUUUCAAAUCGCAGAAGUGGUGGCAAGAAGGAUAGAAGACCUUAUGAUGGAGCAGAGGAGGCAGGAGAGGGCAUUAAUAAGAUGGGAGGUAGUGUCUCAGCCCAAAGAAUGAGGAGGUCCAGGAGUUGCUAGUGUGGCUGCUAGGAAUAUUUCCUUGUUAGCCAAAUGGUUAUGGUGAUUCCCAAUUGAAUAAAGUUCACCAUGGCAUAAAGUGACAAAAAGUAAAUUAGCGGUACAAGAAAAUGGGUGGAUGCGGAUAUGGCUGUAGAGAGUUAAGUAAAACCCCAUGAAAGGAUAUUCCCAAUGUUAUGUGAUUUUCUUAGAGUGCUGCACGGUGAAAGUUAGGAAUGGAAGGAGGGUGAGGUUCUGGGAGGGCAUGAAUUUCCAAGUUUGUAUUUCUUGUUUAGAUACCAUGAUACCAAGGUUACUGAUAUGGUUGAAGGGUUGGGCUUGCAAUGUGUUGGGGGUUUACGAGGAAUUUGUUCGACUGAGAUAGAGCAAUUGAUUUCAUUGUUAGGACAUUGGAGAAUAUUAUCAGAUUUAAUGGUGUGUAAGUUGGAAUCUACCGGUCUUUUCUUGCAAAUCGUAUUUCAGGUUUCCAUGUGAGAUACUUCUAUCCCAACUUCUAAGCCAAGCAGCUUUGAUUUGGAAUGCCGAAGUUCCACCCAAGAUCAAAGCUUUGGCGUGGAUUGCAGCCCAUGCUAAAAUACUUGUGACUUGCCCCGAAUAAAGGGACCAGGUGCUUGUUUAUCUCCAAAUUGGUCAUAUUAUGUGCCAAAAGAUGGGUGAAAUUUCUGAUCAGAUUCACUGUGAAGUAGCUCAGAAGCUUUGGUCUAGUCUAUUUGGUGAAGCUGACAUGGCAUGGAAUCCUCUGGUGCGGGAUGUUAAUCUCUGUUAAGCACAGCAACAAGGGGUUUCGGAGACUGGAAAAGGGAAAAAGUUUUGUGAAAUUGCUGAGUUUGGCAGUUCAACAUUGCCAGCCCCACCACCGGUUGCCAGAAGAAGCUGGAGAUCGAUGACGACCACAAACUGUAAUGUCUUUAUCGAUUUGGGUUUUGCUAAAAUGUCUUUCUUGUUCAUAUCACUUAUUUUCACUAUUAAUUUUAGUUUUCUGUAGCCACUGUGUUUGUAGUUUCAAGAGGCUUUUGGGUUUGGCCAAGUGAUGGUUUGAUAUUAGCUUUGUGUUAUUGUGUAUCAAUAGUUUGAUAUAGCAUACUUGGAUUUCUAUUUUUUUAAUUAAAAAGUGGUUUUUAUGGCUUUUGGGUAAAUGUUAUUGUAUUAUUUCUGGGAGAUGUUUUACUUUUGUCCAAAAAUCAAAAUGGGGUGGAAAUGCAAAUGGGUUUCUUCUGUAUUCUGGUUCAGAACGCUCAACAAAUCUUUUUAUCCUGGACAUUCUUUUUAAUAAAGCAAUGAUUUUUCUGAUUGUGUCCUGUUUUCUCUCACUUUACAAUGAUUUCUCUUUUAAGAAAGUUAUUGAAACAAUAAUGGAAAUCAGCAGAAUAAAAAGAAAAAUGAAAUUUGAGGCAAUAUCGUGAAAUUUGAGCCUUUUUUGUUACGAUGAAACACUAUUUCAGUGGCUGGGCAUAGCAUAAAAUUUGACUGCUUUUGCUUCAACUGAGUUAUCUCAGACUUAAAUGUAAUUUCUUCAUUGUUAAUUGUUUAGAAGCAUUUCAUUAUCAUACAUGCUCACAGCUUUUGUUGUCUAAGAUCUAACACUACUAUUCUGAUUUCUGAUUCUCAUCAGAGCCCAGAUGGGGAUAUAAUAAACUGUGUUCACAUCUCUCAGCAACCUGUUUUUUAAUAAUCCUUUCCUCAAAGACCACAAAACUGAGGUUCAUUUUGCUCAACCAUGAACCUUUCUAAGUGUUUUGGAUCUGUUUAGUUUGCUAGAUGAGGCCUAACUACCACCCAGAAGGCUCAAUAUCAAGAAAACAAAGUAAUUGAAAAGCUCAAUGUCUGGGAGCCCAAGAUUCAACAGCCUAAUGAGUUCACCUUCUCUCAGCUUUGGAUAUCAGGAGGGUUUUUUGGUGAAGACCUGAACAACAUUGAACCUGUUUGGCAGGUCAGCACAGAUCUCUAUGGUGACAGCAACACAAGAUUGUUUACCUCUUGGACUGUAAGCUCUUGUAAAAAUACUUGCUCGUACUUUUUUUUGUGUAUGUCUACAUUUGGGCUCUGUUCCCUUGUCUCGUCGCCUUUCCCUACUUUUCAUGGCUGUGUUUACAGAGUGAUGCAUAUCAAACCACUGGUUGCUACAACCUCCUGUGCUGAGGCUUUAUUCAAAUCAAUAGUGAAAUAGCAAUGGGCACAAGCAUCUUUCCUGUGUUGAGCUACAGAACUUCCCAAUAUGAUAUCAGCAUACUUGUCCUUGUCUGAAAGGUAAUUAAAAUCACAUUACCUGCUACUUCCAGUUAGGUUUUUAUUUGUAGGACUACAACUUGGUGAGGCACAAGAAGUUGUUAAGGGUUAUUUGGUAUUAUGAACUAAUCCUUGCUUUUAGGACAACAACCACAAGUUGUUAUAGGUUCGAUUCAGUUCAUAGGGCUGUGACAAUGAGUUACAAUCUUGUAGAGUGGAUGAGGGAAAUGAAUGUAAAGUAGUGUGGGAAAUGGAUUAAAGUAGUUGUUAAGGUUUGUUUUUGCUUCCUAUGGAUUUUUCUUUGCUUGUAAGCAAAUUUUAUAUGAUUUAUAAUAAUUAUAUAAAUUGUUGUAAAUAA